GGGCCCUUAGCUCAGUUGGUCAGAGCAGGGGACUCAUAAUCCCUUGGUCGUAGGUUCGAAUCCUACAGGGCCCA
rnacentral:tRNA from 1 species